AAUAGUCGAUUAAAAAACAAAACAAAUUUUUUACUGUUUUGAGAAUAAUUAAUAAUUUAAGUGGAUUUUCUAAUUAAAUAAUAAUAUGUCUGGACAAAAAGCGUGACGUGGAGGAAGACACGCUGGAGACAGAUAAGAUACAAAAAGAGAGAUGUUUUCUUCUGAGUUGUUUUGCUCUAUUGGCGCGUGGACAUUAUCCCAUCAAUUGGAUAUUUUAAGGAGCGCGUGUAAUGAUUGAUGAACGAUUACGGGCAAGUAAGAUGGGCCUGAUUUGGUUGGGCCGAUUUCACAUUAGUUAGGAGAUUAUCCAUUUCCAAAAAGAGGAGAGAGAUGGACAAGGUUUGUUGACCAACUCUACCCCACAACAUUUGUUGACUAAACUACACUGAGACUCUCUUACCAAGUUUCUGCGCAGUUUCUUCUGUAGAUAUGCAUGAGAAACCUUCUCGUAGUUGUAGAGCAUUCCUAAUUUCAUGAUUUUUGCAGUGUGAUUUCCCAUCGAGUUUAAAACAAAAUUUUAAAAGGUUUUGCAUG
rnacentral:lncRNA from 1 species